GGACCCGUAGCUCAGCGGUUAGAGCUGCCGGCUCAUAACCGGUAGGUCGCAGGUUCGAAUCCUGCCGGGUCCA
rnacentral:tRNA from 1 species